UACGUAGGGGGCAAGCGUUGUCCGGAUUUAUUGGGCGUAAAGAGCGUGUAGGCGGCCAUACAGGUCCGUUGUGAAAACUGGAGGCUUAACCUCCAGACGUCGAUGGAAACCGUAUGGCUAGAGUCCGGAAGAGGAGAGUGGAAUUCCUGGUGUAGCGGUGAAAUGCGCAGAUAUCGGGAGGAACACCUAUGGCGAAGGCAGCUCGCUGGGACGUUACUGACGCUGAGACGCGAAAGCGUGGGGAGCAAACAGG
rnacentral:rRNA from 1 species